rnacentral:lncRNA from 1 species
AUGAUCCUCUCUGGGAUUUUAGGAAUGUUGAGACGUGCUGGUUAUAAAGCCCGAAGUACAAAAUGGUCACGGAUGGCUGGAAUGAGGCAUGUUCUAAUGGAAACAAAUCACUUGUCACUAAGCAGCCUUCAAACUUUUGAACAAAAGCUCAGAAGGGUCAGGGAAAAGACAUGUUUGUUGACUUAAAAUGGCUGGAUGCAGGUUGUCAGAAAUGCAUAGGCUUCAAUAUUGCUGGGGUAACCCUUCAGUUCUAGGGGUUUUAAACAAGGUUAACCACUUUGAUGGCAACCAUGAGUAGAACGAGCAAUUUACACUAACAGAAAGCUAAUACGUGUAUAAACUAAAGUGUGCUUACUACUGAAAUGUAAAGUGCAUAUACCACUGCAAAACAGCUUCAGCAGGGAACUCGGUUGUGGGAACCACAUUCAGUUGUACAGACAUGAAUGGUCAUGAGGAAGACUACCCUAUGCCUACUGAAUUUUAGAAGGGUCACCAAUGUUACUGUAACAUAAAAUGUGGGAUGUAUGUGGGAUUAAUCAGUGUUUCAGUUAGAUAGCUAAAAUAGUGUAGUUUGGCUUUAUGACAAUUUGAGGGUAAAUCCAAAUGCCAAUUAAUCUGUUAAAUCAACUUUCUGUGUUCUCAGUGCUAAGUGAAAUUAUGCAAGGUUAUCAUUAAGAUAUUUUAUUUGCUUCCAAGACCCGUGAUCAGGUUCAGGACCCCUCAACCAACUAUAAAUAAAGGACCAGCCCUCAUUUUUC